CCCUUAGAUGUUCUGGGCGGCCCGCGCACUACAUUGGCACUCUCAAUAAGUUCCUAGAUCUAAAACUUUGGGGUAUUCUAUUAAGUGGUGUCGUGACUGGGAUUAACCCUUGCAAUUAUUGGUUACGAACGAGGAAUUCCUUGUAAUCGCGGUUUAUCAGCCCGCGUUGAAUGCGUCCCUGCCCUUUGUACACACCGCCCGUCGCUCCUACCGAUGAAUCGUCCGGUGAAGUUCAUGGAGUGGUGGUUGUUCCAGCUGCUGUCGAAGUGAAAUGGACCUCACGAUUUAGAGGAAGGAGAAGUCGUAACA
rnacentral:rRNA from 1 species